UAUUUUUUAAAUAAAUAAAUAAAUAAAAUUGGAACAACACAGAGAAGAUUAGCAUGGCCCCUGCGCAAGGAUGACACACCCAUUCUUGAAGUGUUUCAUAUUUUU